CCUACGGGCGGCAGCAGUGGGGAAUAUUGGACAAUGGGGGGAACCCUGAUCCAGCCAUGCCGCGUGUGUGAAGAAGGCCCUCGGGUUGUAAAGCACUUUCAGUGAGGAAGAACGCCUGGUGGUUAAUACCCAUCAGGAAAGACAUCACUCACAGAAGAAGCACCGGCUAACUCCGUGCCAGCAGCCGCGGUAAUACGGAGGGUGCGAGCGUUAAUCGGAAUUACUGGGCAUAAAGCGCGCGUAGGUGGCUUGAUAAGCCGGUUGUGAAAGCCCCGGGCUCAACCUGGGAACGGCAUCCGGAACUGUCAAGCUAGAGUGCAGGAGAGGAAGGUAGAAUUCCCGGUGUAGCGGUGAAAUGCGUAGAGAUCGGGAGGAAUACCAGUGGCGAAGGCGGCCUUCUGGACUGACACUGACACUGAGGUGCGAAAGCGUGGGUAGCAAACAGGAUUAGAUACCCGUGUAGUC
rnacentral:rRNA from 1 species